GAGAGGGUUGUAUUCCUUCCCCAUUUCCUCCGCGGACUGGGCUUCCCACUCCAUCCCUUUGUCCGGGGGCUCAUGUUCUACUACGGCCUGGAUUUCCAUGAUUUGGCCCCGAAUUUCAUCCUCAACAUCUCGGCAUUUAUCGUCGUGUGUGAGGCCUUCCUCUGCAUCCAGCCCCACUUCGGCUUGUGGCUCAAGACCUUCAGUGUGAAGCCGAAGGUUGUGAAGGGCAGCCAAGCGGAGUGCAGAGGCGCCAUGGUGGGCAGGAUGUCCCACGUUACUUGGCUUGAGGGCACUUUCGUGGAAACCAUCAAGGGGUGGCAAUCGGGGUGGUUCUACAUCACCGAGCCGCGUGACCCCGAAUGGGCAGCGGCCCCCGAAUUCAGAUCCGGCAUCCCCACACGGCUCACCUCUGGGAAAGAGAGCGGCCGGACAUGGGGUGAUUCGGAGGAGCUGACCGGACUCCAAGCUUGCAUCCAAAAGCUAGUGGACAAGAAGGUCAAGCUUGUCAACGUAGUCCAGGUCAUGCUCAUCCGCCAGAUUCUCCCGUGCCAACGACGGGGCUUCAACAUGUGGGAGUUCGAU
rnacentral:rRNA from 1 species